rnacentral:rRNA from 1 species
UACGAAGGGGGCUAGCGUUGCUCGGAAUUACUGGGCGUAAAGCGCACGUAGGCGGCUUUCUAAGUCGGGGGUGAAAUCCUGGAGCUCAACUCCAGAACUGCCUUCGAUACUGGAAAGCUCGAGUCCGGGAGAGGUGAGUGGAACUGCGAGCGUAGAGGUGAAAUUCGUAGAUAUUCGCAAGAACACCAGUGGCGAAGGCGGCUCACUGGCCCGGUACUGACGCUGAGGUGCGAAAGCGUGGGGAGCAAACAGG